rnacentral:lncRNA from 1 species
GUUCAUGCCGAUGGACCAAGGGCGGUGAAGGAUGAACGCAAGUAGGCUUGGACCGAUGGACCCGAGGAGUCCGGGCGAAGUCACGGGCGGUUCACAUGGUGCACGGAAUGGCGAGAGGGCAUGACACGAUGGAGACGGCGUCGGUCGAGUCAAGCGGGAGGCUUGGCGGAGGCCGGACACGCGUCAAUGGACGGUUUGGGCCUCAAAACCACCGCGCAGGCAGGUUUCCCGGUUUGGGCCUCAAAACCGGGGGCGAGCCCGGUGCGGCCGGAGCUUCGAGAAGGAGGGCACGUGGCGUCAUCGCCAAGCUUGCGUCGAGGCGAAGCAAAGUCGUGAAGGCGGCGUGUCCGUCCGAUGCACGGAUAAAAACUUGGACCAAAAUACCCCUGCGUGGGUAGUUAUCUUAGUUGUAGCUGUAGGGGUAGUAUAGUCUUUCGUCCUGGACUAUAAAUAGGGAUGGGGGGCUGGUUAUUUCAGUACCUCUUUGUUUAGCAACUCAUUAUCUAUUUGCUUAGAGGCUAGUCAUGUGCUUAGAGUGAGAGGAGAGAGGGGGAUUAGGGAGUGAUUACUCUUUUCUCUUGAUUUCUUCAUCUUUAGUGGGUGGAUGAAGGGAGGAGGCUAGUCCUCAUCUUGUAUAGAAGAUGUUCUCGUGAUUUAGCUUUAUUUGUUGUCUCAAAUCGUGCUAAAUCUUUGAUUUCCGAGCGUUUUUCUUUUUCCCUAUUUUCGGAACUAUUUUUGGGGAAUUUUCGUUCAUCAUGGUUGAGCCCGAAUCUCGUGAGAUUGGUUGAAGGGAAAUGUUGCUAGGACCUAGGAGAGCAUCCGUGAUAUGAUCCCCUUUCAAAUCCCUCACGAAUCCGGCUUGAUUUUGAGUUUUUCCCAAAUCGCGUUCUUGAGUUAGGGUUUCGGUUUUCUCCAAAAUCCGUGAUGGAUACUUGAGCUUUUUGUGAUCUUUUCAUGGAUCUAUUAGCCUUUAGGGUUGCGCAUCUGUGGCUCAAGUUUCGUCUCGAUUCAUGGAGAUUUGAAGGAGAAUUUCUCGUUUGAAGUUUCAGGUGUUCUUGUGUUUAUCUGGUUUGUUCUUUCUGUUCUUGCGUUCGUGCUUCUGUUCGUGCGCGCAGGCAACCAGGUGGAGCAGCAGCAGGCCAGCAGUCCAACGGUGGUGCUGCAAAGCUGCAGCUCGUGGCCCAUCGCUAGGCGGCCCACCAGCCACAGCCCAGCAGCGACACAAGCCCAGGCAGGCCAGCACCAGGCCGCGUGCGCUACGCAGGCCAGCACCUGGUGGUCCAGCUCGUGGCUUGCAGGCCCAGCUCGCAGCCCAGGGAGCUGCUUUACGCAAAGCAAGUCAAGCCCAGCUUCUCCUAACAAGCAGGUCACCAGGAGCUUUUCAUCUACACGAGACCAGUGAGCCAAUUCUUUUAUCAUUUGUUAAUUCCAUGCCUACUUAAGUAAGUGAUUAAUAGUGUUCCUGUUUUGUCUCAUCCGUGCAAAUUUGAUAGAAUCGAUUCAUGCUAUAUUUUCGCUGUAAUUUGUACGUCUCUUAUCGUUCCUAGGGUGAGCCAGUCACGAGUUGACUUGCGUCAUCUUGACGAUUGAACGCACCGUGUGCUUUGGGGUUGCGUUUGGGACAUAGGUCUUGUUUUCGUUGAGAAUUUUUAUAGGCUCCCAUUGACCCCCCCUCUGGUCGCCCUUUCGGUCCUUCAAUUGGUAUCAGAGCCGGUUAAGGUUUCUCCAUACCCUAAUUGGUUUCGAAACCUAUUAUGGCGACCUCUGAGCGUUCUUCCUUGACCGCUGCACCCUACUUUGAUGGCUCUGAUUAUCGGUAUUGGAAAACUCGCAUGAGAGCCCAUCUAAAUAGUAGGGGAGCAGGGGUUUGGGAAAUCACUCAGGAUGUGACUUAUGUGAUUCCUGCUACUCGUGUGACUCAGGAUGAAAGGGAUAAGUAUCACGCCAACAGCAAGGCGGUUGAUAUUCUGUUUGCGAGUCUGAGUCGUGCUGAGUUCGAUCGAGUCGAAGAUCUCUCUCUUGCUCAUGAGAUUUGGUCUCGACUUCAGAGUUUCCACGAGGGAAACAGUCAGGUGAAGGCUAGACUCUUUGAGACUUAUAGGCGUGAGUAUGAGAACUUUGUUCAUUUGCCUGGUGAGUCUGCCGAUGCUUUGUUUCAGCGUUUCUUGGCUAUUGUGAACAAGAUGAAAGCAAAUAUCACCGUCUUACCCUACACUGAUCAUGAUAGAGCUUUAAAGCUCCUGCAUGCCUUGGAUCACGAAGUGUGGGGUACGAAGGUUGAUGCUAUCAUCGAGUCACCGAAUUAUGAAACACUUUCCAUUGAUGAACUAUUUGCCAAGUUGAAAUCCACGGAGGUUGACAAGAGGCUCCGAGCAAAACAAGGAGGCCCUACUGAUCCAAAUAGUAUGGCUCUCAUGUCAGGCUCUGGACAGCCUAAGUCUUUGAGUAACUCUUCUUCUAUGUCGUUUGCCUUGUCUUCUUUGGUUUCUGUUUCAGAGGAGCACCUGGAGGUUCUUGAUGAUGAUGAGCUCACCUUGAUCACGAGGCGAUUCAUGCGCUUCAACGACAACCGCAAGAACAGGCGAAGGAACAACAACAACUGCUUCGAUUGUGGCAAGCCAGGCCACUUCGCCGCCGACUGCCCCGACAAAAACAAAACCAAGAGCAAGUACGACUACAACAAACACAAGAACAAGGACGGCACCAAGAAGAAGAAGAAGUACACCGAUCGCGAGAAGAAGGAGUAUCGCAAGAAGGCCAAAGCACGUGCCUUCAUCGCCUCCCUCAGCGACGUCGACUCCGACACCGACGACCACACCGACUCAAGCUCAAGCGAGGAGGAGGACGACCGCAAGGCAAAGAAGAAGGAUGGCAAGAACUUCAAUGGCCUCUGCUUCUACUCCGACAAGAACCGCGACGGGUACUGUGUCAUGGCUCUCAACUCCAAGAAGGAUGACAAGGAAAGUGACUCCGACACAGAAACUGAGGUCGGAGGCCUGGAGAACACGUGGCUUAUUGAUUCCGGUUGCUCUUGUCACAUGACCGGUGAUUUCAGAUGGUUCUCCAGCCUCACCCCGGUGAUGACCAAGGAGUACAUCACUUUCGGGGAUAAUAGCAAAGGUAAGGUGUUGUCUGAAGGUGUUAUCAAGGUGAGUGAGAAUUUCAUGCUCAAGCGAGUUGCUCUAGUUGAUUCUCUUAGUUUCAAUUUGCUCUCUGUGUCGCAGCUGCUUGAUGAUGGUUUUGAGGUCCGUUUUAAGCAAGGGACCUCAAGGAUUUUAGACUCUCGAGGUGAUCUUGUGUGUAUGAUCGUCCCCGAGGGUCAAGUGUUUCGAGUUGAUUUUUCCAAGUCAUUUGGUCUCUCUCGGUGUUUAGUGGCUGGCUCAUCUUCUGAACUUUGGAAAUGGCAUAGGAGAUUAGGUCAUUUGAGUUUUGAUUUGCUUUCCCGCUUGAGUACUUUGGAUCUUAUUCGUGGUUUGCCUAAAUUAAAGUUUGAGAAAGAUCUUGUUUGUGCUCCCUGUCGACAUGGGAAGAUGGUUGCUGCUUCCCAUCCACCUGUGAAUCAGGUGAUGACUGAACAUCCAGGCGAGCUGUUGCAUAUGGACACUGUUGGUCCAGCUCGUGUUUGUUCAGUCGGUGGGAAAUGGUAUGUGCUUGUGAUCGUUGAUGAUUUUUCGAGGUAUUCAUGGGUUUUCUUCAUGGAAUCUAAGGAUGAGGCAUUUCCUUUUGUUCGAGAUUUGAUAUUGAGGUUGAGAAAUGAGCGACCAAAAGAUGCCAUGAGAGCUAUCCGCAGUGACAAUGGCACAAAAUUCAAGAACGCUCGUUUUAAAGCCUUUUGCAAUGAUCUUGGUCUUGAACACCAGUUUUCAUCGCCUUAUGUCCCUCCUCAGAAUGGUGUUGUUGAACGGAAGAAUCGGACCCUUUGUGAAAUGGCUAGGACGAUGCUUGAUGAGCAUAGGACUCCUAGAAAAUAUUGGGCCGAAGCCGUCAACACUGCUUGCUAUGUGUCCAAUCGAAUCUUUUUGCGAGCUUUCCUGAAGAAAACUUCUUAUGAGCUGAUGCAUCGACGUUCCCCCAAAGUGAGUCAUCUGAGGGUGUUUGGCUGCAAGUGUUUCAUUCUCAAGCAAGGAAAUUUGGAUAAAUUUGAGUCUUGUUCUACGGAUGGGAUUUUUCUUGGUUAUGCUUCUCAUAGUUGUGCUUAUCGUGUGCUUAACCUUGAAACUAACCGGAUCGUGGAAACUUGUGAGAUUACAUUCGAUGAAACUAUGCCUUGCACAACUCCUGUCUUUGAAGUUGCAGGUGAACAUGAAAUGGGGCAAAGCAUAUUUGAGGAAGAGGAAGAGCGUGUAGAUGGUGGUGAGGAAGAGGAUGAUGAGAUUGACCGAGCUCCAGCUGUUGCACCUAUACCUUCUACUUCGACUACGAGAGUUGAUGGCCCUACCUCUACUUCCACUACUUCAAGCCAUCAACUAGUACCACUACAGGAUGAAGAAGAAGAAGAUCAGAGUGAUCCAGCUGCUGUUGAGGGGGAGGCGACUUCAGAGCGAGAGGCUCCACGGCACAUUCAGCGUCGUCAUCCUCCACAACAGAUGAUCGGUAACUUACAUGAACGCACCACUAGGCACAGCUCUAGGCAGAUUUCACACUUUGCACAUUCUACAUUUGUUGCCUCUUUCGAACCCCGAGAUAUUGGACAUGCUCUAUCUGAUUCAAAUUGGGUUAAUGCCAUGCAUGAGGAGUUGGAGAACUUUGAGCGAAACAGGGUUUGGGUUUUAGUUGAACCACCUCCAAAUUGCCAUCCUAUAAGAACAAAAUGGGUUUUCAAAAAUAAACAAGGUGAGGAUGGGUUGAUUGUGAGAAACAAAGCGAGGUUGGUUGCCCAAGGUUUUAGCCAAAAAGAGGGGAUAGAUUAUGAGGAAACCUUUGCUCCUGUUGCCCGUUUGGAAGCAAUUAGAAUCCUUCUAGCCUUCUCUGUGGCUAAAGGUUUUAAGCUCUUCCAAAUGGAUGUGAAAAGUGCCUUCCUAAAUGGUUUCAUAGAGGAGGAAGUGUAUGUGAAACAACCCCCUGGUUUUGAGAGUCCUAAAUAUCCUGAUCGUGUUUUCAAACUCCAGAAAGCUCUCUAUGGCCUAAAACAAGCACCCCGAGCGUGGUAUGCUAGAUUGAAAUCCUUUUUGCUUGGGAAUGGGUUUGAAAUGGGAUCAGUUGAUAAAACACUCUUUCUCCUCAGGCAAGGCAAUGACUUAUUGAUUCUUCAGAUAUACGUGGAUGAUAUUAUCUUUGGUGGUUCUUCUCAUGCUUUGGUUGCAAAGUUUGCAGAUGACAUGAGCAGGGAGUUCGAGAUGUCGAUGAUGGGUGAGUUGACCUUCUUCCUCGGGCUACAGAUCAAGCAAAGCAAGGAAGGAACCUUCGUGCACCAAGGGAAGUACACGAAGGACGUGUUGAGGAAGUUUGACAUGGCUGAUGCUAAGCCACUCUCCACACCCAUGGGUACGACGACGGCACUAGAUGCGGAUGAAGAUGGUGAACCGGUGGACCAGAAGGAGUACAGAAGCAUGAUCGGCUCCCUCUUAUACCUGACGGCGACGAGGCCGGACAUACACUUCUUUGUGUGUCUGUGCGCUCAUUUUCAGGCUUCACCAAGGACAUCUCACCGUCAGGCAGUGAAGAGGAUCAUGAGGUAUCUCCGCUUUACCCCUGAGUUCGGUUUGUGGUAUUCUGCCUCCUCGACACUCACGCUCCGGGGAUACUCCGAUGCGGACUUUGCUGGGUGUCGCUUGGAUCGCAAGUCUACCUCGGGUACUUGCCAGUUUCUCGGUUCGUCUUUGGUCUCUUGGUCUUCUCGCAAACAAUCUAGUGUUGCUCAGUCUACCACCGAAGCUGAGUAUGUUGCUGCUGCUAGCUGUUGUUCUCAGCUGCUUUGGAUGAUUUCCACUUUGAGAGAUUUUGGUUUGGAUUUUACUCGUGUACCUCUUCUUUGUGACAGCACGAGUGCCAUUAGUGUAGCCAAGAACCCCGUUCUCCACUCAAAAACUAAACACAUUGAUGUGAGAUAUCAUUUUCUGAGAGAUCAUGUUGAGAAAGGGGAUAUUGACCUUGGCUAUGUUGCUACCCAAAACCAACUCGCAGACAUUUUCACCAAACCCCUGGAUCAAGCCACUUUUGCUCGUUUGCGGGGGGAGUUGGGUGUUUGCUUUCCUUUCUGAGUUAGGUUUUUGGAGCUUCUCUUGUAUUAUACUUGUAUCAUUUUUGUACAAAACAUGGUAGGAUAGCCACUUUUUCAUGAUAGCUUUGAGUUCUUCAUGUAUAUCUUAUCAUGCUAUUUCUGUGAUAUAUUGUGGUGGAUGAUACAUAUGAACAUCAUGUCAUGCUUUACCUUAGUUUACAUUUGGGUAUGGCAUGUUGUUCAUCUGUAUCAUUUUAGCUUAGUUUCCAUGCAUUUUGUAUCAUAUUGCAUUUUGUAUCAUGUUGCACUAGAUGAGCUUCUCCUAUAUAUCUUGUGUACUCCCUUAUGCUACUUGUGAGGUAGUGCUGUGGUUGGUGAUUUUGAUGCAAUGUGCAGUUAUGCUCUUGAUGAUAUUGUAUACUUGUUGAGAUAACUGUUUUUGAAUUUCAAUGCUAAAUUCUACUCUAUUAACUUGCUUAUCACCCAUGAGUAGAUGCUUGGUUAUGGUUUGCCCUUGGUUGAAUACUGGUUCCAUAUCUAGCUUAUGUUUGGAAUUCAUGUUCUUUUCAAUUGGGUCAAAGAUCUAGGUAUCAUUGCAAAUGUUUAGCCCAUGAUGCACCCCUUGGGGAAGCAUGGCUUCUUUGUGCCGCAAAGGCACUUCAUGUAUUUUGCUUUGUGUGAAUACUAAAAAAAAAUAUGCUGAAAACUUCAUAAAUUCACCAAAUUUUUGUGCUUAAUGUGAUAUUAUUGCUUGCUUAGUUGUUACAAGAUGUUUACCAAAAGAAGUAGACACUUGGUUUCAACAAGCUUUAAACAUGACUUGUGAUGCAUAUGUGGGUGUUUGCAAUGAUCUCUUGUUGAGAAUAGAUUUUCCUUGUUUGAGCUCUUGAUGGACUAGUCUAUUCUUGCUUGGGUGAUUCUUAACUAGGUGAAUGCUCAUGUGGUGAUCUUUUUGUACAUUGCUAAAACUUGAUACUUGCUUCACCUCCACUGUUGUAACUUGAUAUCAUCUUGUUGGCGAUGCUAUUGUUUCUUAUGAUCUAUCAAGCUUUAUCUCCCUAGUAGCCUUUGAGAGUGCAUUGUGAUAUAUUUGAGAAGCUUGUUAGGUUCUGCAUUUCCAUGGCAUGCAUUUUGUGCUUUCAUCCUUUUCUUGAUGGUUGCAUUGUCAACAAGGGGGAGAGAAAUCUACACAAAUUCUUUCAUCUAUCAAGAGGGAGACUUUGCAUGUAUGCAUGUUUUCAGGGGGAGUGCAUCUGUUCAGGGGGAGUAUUUGUGAGUUGUUGAUGUGCUCUUGUUAUGCUCUUAUGCUCUUGUACCGGUCGCGUUGAGCUGUUUACCUCUUCUUGAGGAGCCGGUUUUUUAUUUGAGUUUGGAUUUUCAUGUGAUUGGUGUUGAGCCCGUUUUCUGCCUCUUCUUGAGGGAUCACAUGAUUUUGUCUCAGUUGUGUAGAGCCGUUGCCCUUAUCUUAGGGGACUGAGAUUUUUUUUAUUUUGAGUUUCUUAUUUUUCUGUUUCAAUACUAUGAAUUUGUGGGGUGUUGUCAAUGCACUCAUCAAGGGGGAGAUUGAGGACCAAUGGAGGUCACCCUUGGAUGAUGAGUGAUUGACAACGUUGUGUUGGUUUGAUGUUGCUCUUGGCUUGUGAUGUGCAGGUGUAGGAUGUGACGUGGCGGUCGACGGAGUGUGGUGAAGGUCAAGCGAAAGGUUCAUGCCGAUGGACCAAGGGCGGUGAAGGAUGAACGCAAGUAGGCUUGGACCGAUGGACCCGAGGAGUCCGGGCGAAGUCACGGGCGGUUCACAUGGUGCACAGAAUGGCGAGAGGGCAUGACACGAUGGAGACGGCGUCGGUCGAGUCAAGCGGGAGGCUUGGCGGAGGCUGGACACGCGUCAAUGGACGGUUUGGGCCUCAAAACCACCGCGCAGGCAGGUUUCCCGGUUUGGGCCUCAAAACCGGGGGCGAGCCCGGUGCGGCCGGAGCUUCGAGAAGGAGGGCACGUGGCGUCAUCGCGAACCUUGCGUCGAGGCGAAGCAAAGUCGUGAAGGCGGCGUGUCCGUCCGAUGCACGGAUAAAAACUUGGACCAAAAUACCCCUGCGUGGGUAGUUAUCUUAGUUGUAGCUGUAGGGGUAGUAUAGUCUUUCGUCCUGGACUAUAAAUAGGGAUGGGGGCUGGUUAUUUCAGUACCUCUUUGUUUAGCAACUCAUUAUCUAUUUGCUUAGAGGCUAGUCAUGUGCUUAGAGUGAGAGGAGAGAGGGGGAUUAGGGAGUGAUUACUCUUUUCUCUUGAUUUCUUCAUCUUUAGUGGGUGGAUGAAGGGAGGAGGCUAGUCCUCAUCUUGUAUAGAAGAUGUUCUCGUGAUUUAGCUUUAUUUGUUGUCUCAAAU